GAUGAACGCUGACAGAAUGCUUAACACAUGCAAGUCAACUUGAAUUUGGGUUUUUAACUUAGGUUUGGGUGGCGGACGGGUGAGUAACGCGUAAAGAACUUGCCUCACAGGUAGGGACAACAUUUGGAAACGAAUACUAAUACCUAAUAUUAUGAUAAUAGGGCAUCCUAUAAUUAUGAAAGCUAUAUGCGCUGUGAGAGAGCUUUGCGUCCCAUUAGCUAGUUGGAGAGGUAACGGCUCACCAAGGCGAUGAUGGGUAGCCGGCCUGAGAGGGUGAUCGGCCACAAGGGGACUGAGACACGGCCCUUACUCCUACGGGAGGCAGCAGUGGGGAAUAUUGGACAAUGGACCGAGAGUCUGAUCCAGCAAUUCUGUGUGCACGAUGAAGUUUUUCGGAAUGUAAAGUGCUUUCAGUUGGGAAGAAAGAAAUGACGGUACCAACAGAAGAAGUGACGGCUAAAUACGUGCCAGCAGCCGCGGUAAUACGUAUGUCACGAGCGUUAUCCGGAUUUAUUGGGCGUAAAGCGCGUCUAGGUGGUUAUAUAAGUCUGAUGUGAAAAUGCAGGGCUCAACUCUGUAUUGCGUUGGAAACUGUAUAACUAGAGUACUGGAGAGGUAAGCGGAACUACAAGUGUAGAGGUGAAAUUCGUAGAUAUUUGUAGGAAUGCCGAUGGGGAAGCCAGCUUACUGGACAGAUACUGACGCUGAAGCGCGAAAGCGUGGGUAGCAAACAGG
rnacentral:rRNA from 1 species